UACGGAGGGUGCGAGCGUUGUUCGGAAUCACUGGGCGUAAAGCGCGUGUAGGCGGCCCGCUAAGUCUGAUGUGAAAGCCCGAGGCUCACCCUCGGAAGUGCAUUGGAAACUGGCGGACUGGAGUCCCGGAGAGGAGGGUGGAAUUCCUGGUGUAGCGGUGAAAUGCGUAGAUAUCGGGAGGAACACCGGUGGCGAAGGCGGCCCUCUGGACGGUGACUGACGCUGAGACGCGAAAGCGUGGGGAGCAAACAGG
rnacentral:rRNA from 1 species